rnacentral:rRNA from 1 species
GACGAACGCUGGCGGCGUGCUUAACACAUGCAAGUCGAACGGACAGGCCCUGCUUGCAGGGUGCUCGAGUGGCGAACGGGUGAGUAACACGUGGGUGAUCUGCCCCUUACUUUGGGAUAAGCCUGGGAAACUGGGUCUAAUACUGGAUAGGACCAUGCUGUAGGUGGUGUGGUGGAAAGAUUAGUUUCGGUAAGGGAUGAGCUCGCGGCCUAUCAGCUUGUUGGUGGGGUAAUGGCCUACCAAGGCGUCGACGGGUAGCCGGCCUGAGAGGGUGGACGGCCACAUUGGGACUGAGAUAAGGCCCAGACUCCUACGGGAGGCAGCAGUGGGGAAUAUUGCACAAUGGGCGCAAGCCUGAUGCAGCGACGCCGCGUGGGGGAUGACGGCCUUCGGGUUGUAAACUCCUUUCAGCCAUGACGAAGCCCUUGUGGUGACGGUAGUGGUAGAAGAAGCACCGGCUAACUACGUG